ACUUUCAGGACUGCAGGGGAAAGGGUGGACACCCAGCCUCCCGCCAGGAGGAUACAAAAAUACAUCAGUUUGCAAACCAGAAGAAGGUCCUCACCAGAAACCAACUAUGCUGGCACCCUGAUCUUGGACUUCUAGCCUCCAGAACUGUGAGAAAUAAAUGUGUGUUUAUAAACCAGUCAGUCAGUCUAUGGUGCUUUAUUAUAGCAUCUGGAACGAGCUAAGACAGCUGCUAAGUAGCAUUCCAUUUGACAAGGAAGACUUACCAUUCACACUACUUCUGAGUUCAAUGAAAGAGAGGCUCGGUUCCUUACCUGUAAAAUAGAGAUCAUAUAGAGAUGUCGGGAAGAUUUAAUAACAUCAUGCAAGCAAUAUGCCUACAAGAGUGCCUGUAAAACAUUAAGCCUUGGUAAAUGUGAGCUAUAAUGCUUCCUAUAAAAUACCUUAUCAAGUUAUACCAUUAGUGUUAUAUUCUGAAUUU
rnacentral:lncRNA from 1 species